AAGGCAGAUGAUGAGGAAGACAAAGACAUCCACAUCUCCUGAUUUAAAUUGUGGACACAAUACCAUGAUGAUUCCGUCUAGGGGAAUCUCUGAUGCCAA